AUGAACGCUGGCGGCGUGCCUCAUCCAUGCAAGUCGAGCGAACAGACGAGGAGCUUGCUCCUCUGACGUUAGCGGCGGACGGGUGAGUAACACGUGGAUAACCUACCUAUAAGACUGGGAUAACUUCGGGAAACCGGAGCUAAUACCGGAUAAUAUAUUGAACCGCAUGGUUCAAUAGUGAAAGACGGUUUUGCUGUCACUUAUAGAUGGAUCCGCGCCGCAUUAGCUAGUUGGUAAGGUAACGGCUUACCAAGGCAACGAUGCGUAGCCGACCUGAGAGGGUGAUCGGCCACACUGGAACUGAGACACGGUCCAGACUCCUACGGGAGGCAGCAGUAGGGAAUCUUCCGCAAUGGGCGAAAGCCUGACGGAGCAACGCCGCGUGAGUGAUGAAGGUCUUCGGAUCGUAAAACUCUGUUAUUAGGGAAGAACAAAUGUGUAAGUAACUAUGCACGUCUUGACGGUACCUAAGCAGAAAGCCACGGCUAACUACGG
rnacentral:rRNA from 1 species